GUGGGGAAUAUUGGGCAAUGGGCGCAAGCCUGACCCAGCAACGCCGCGUGAAGGAAGAAGGCUUUCGGGUUGUAAACUUCUUUUGUCAGGGAAGAGCAGAAGACGGUACCUGACGAAUAAGCCACGGCUAACUACGUGCCAGCAGCCGCGGUAAUACGUAGGUGGCAAGCGUUGUCCGGAUUUACUGGGUGUAAAGGGCGUGUAGCCGGGCUGACAAGUCAGAUGUGAAAGGCGGGGGCUUAACCCCCGAGCUGCAUUUGAAACUGUUGGUCUUGAGUAUCGGAGAGGCAGGCGGAAUUCCUAGUGUAGCGGUGAAAUGCGUAGAUAUUAGGAGGAACACCAGUGGCGAAGGCGGCCUGCUGGACGACAACUGACGGUGAGGCGCGAAAGCGUGGGGAGCAAACAGGA
rnacentral:rRNA from 1 species